CCAAAGGCUCUUUUCAGAGCCACUCACGCUUCCAGAGAAAGAGCCU
rfam:Homo sapiens chromosome 6, GRCh38 reference primary assembly.